rnacentral:rRNA from 1 species
AACGAACGCUGGCGGCAGGCUUAACACAUGCAAGUCGAACGCCCCGCAAGGGGAGUGGCAGACGGGUGAGUAACGCGUGGGAAUCUACCCAGUUCUACGGAACAACUGAGGGAAACUUCAGCUAAUACCGUAUACGCCCUACGGGGGAAAGAUUUAUCGGAAUUGGAUGAGCCCGCGUUGGAUUAGCUAGUUGGUGAGGUAACGGCUCACCAAGGCGACGAUCCAUAGCUGGUCUGAGAGGAUGAUCAGCCACACGGGGACUGAGACACGGCCCAGACUCCUACGGGAGGCAGCAGUGGGGAAUAUUGGACAAUGGGCGCAAGCCUGAUCCAGCCAUGCCGCGUGAGUGAUGAAGGCCUUAGGGUUGUAAAGCUCUUUCGCCAGGGACGAUAAUGACGGUACCUGGAUAAGAAGCCCCGGCUAACUUCGUGCCAGCCGCCGCCGUAAAAC